rfam:Dipodomys ordii contig_48208, whole genome shotgun sequence.
GGGAAUGUGGCUUAGUGAUAGAGUGUUUGCCUAGCAUGCAUGAUGCCCUAGGUUCAAUUCCUCAGUACCA